GGACUUGAGAGGUUUUCCACCAUUCAACUGAGUGGGUAAUGUCUCCUAGAAAUUCUCCUGUGGCCCUGAAGCAAGGCCUGUCCUUGGAAGCAAUGUUAUAGGAGCGGCAAAUUGCCAUUCCCUUAUGGAAGGAGGUCAUAAGUAUCUCCCGAAAGUUGAAUGAUGAUUCAGCGUCUCCUUAUUUCUUGUGGACAUAAUUGGACUGGACUGGUCAGAUGAUAUUUUCUGAAAGAUGUAUCUGGAAGCACUGAAGGUGUCUAAUAUGGAGCUCAUGAUGGUGGUCACGGAAGAAGCGAAGAAACUCAAUUAUGAGUGGUGAUAAUCUCUGCAUUUCUCUGAUUCCCCAAAUUUUGUCUUUACUAAUCUUCAAUAGAUAGUUUCCUCUGUUGAUUAAUUCCUCUGUAGUGCUUGUGAUGUCUAUGCAAUUUACUAUCUCGACAGAUGAAAACUCGUAUUAAUUUUUGCUAGUCAUACAUGAAAUUUGGUCAUCAAGUACCUAGAGUA